UACGUAGGUGGCAAGCGUUGUCCGGAUUUACUGGGCGUAAAGCGCACGUAGGCGGUCUUUUAAGUCGGGGGUGAAAUCCUGGAGCUCAACUCCAGAACUGCCUUCGAUACUGGAAGACUUGAGUCCGGGAGAGGUGAGUGGAACUGCGAGUGUAGAGGUGAAAUUCGUAGAUAUUCGCAAGAACACCAGUGGCGAAGGCGGCUCACUGGCCCGGUACUGACGCUGAGGCACGAAAGCGUGGGGAGCAAACAGG
rnacentral:rRNA from 1 species